GUUCAACGGCCGCGGUAUCCUGACCGUGCGAAGGUAGCGUAAUCAUUUGUCUUUUAAAUUAAGACUCGUAUGAAAGGCACCACGAGAAUUAAACUGUCUCCUUUUUCUAAUCUAUGAAACUGAUCUCCCCGUGAAGAAGCGGGGAUUUUAAUAUAAGACGAGAAGACCCUAUGGAGCUUCAGACGAAUAAUAAUGCCCCUCCCCUUUCCUCACUAAAAUACCAGGGCAUCUUAAUUAUUUAGUCUUGGGUUGGGGCGACCAUGGAGUAAAAAUCACCCUCCAUGCUGAACAGGACCUCCUUAAAUAAGAGCAACAGCUCUAUGAAUCAAUAAAUUGACACAUUUGACCCAAUUACUUGAUCAACGAAACAAGUUACCCUAGGGAUAACAGCGCAAUCCACUUCAAGAGCCCUUAUCAACAAGUGGGUUUACGACCUCGAUGUUGGAUCAGGGUAUCCCAGUGGUGCAGCCGCUACUAAAGGUUUGUUUGUUCAACAAUUAAAACCC
rnacentral:rRNA from 1 species